AACUCUAUGCAGUAGAAUACUCGGUUCGUGUGUCGAUGGAGGGUGCAGCCACCUCUGGGAAGUACUGUGAAUCGCAAACUGCUUUGAACAUCGACCUCUUGAACGCACAGGUUACUACUGACAGUUUAAUGAAUAUUAGUUCAGUCUAU
rnacentral:rRNA from 1 species